GACGAACGCGGCGGCGUGCCUAAUACAUGCAAGUAGAACGCUGAAGGAGGAGCUUGCUUCUCUGGAUGAGUUGCGAACGGGUGAGUAACGCGUAGGUAACCUGCCUGGUAGCGGGGGAUAACUAUUGGAAACGAUAGCUAAUACCGCAUAAGAGUAGAUGUUGCAUGACAUUUGCUUAAAAGGUGCAAUUGCAUCACUACCAGAUGGACCUGCGUUGUAUUAGCUAGUUGGUGGGGUAACGGCUCACCAAGGCGACGAUACAUAGCCGACCUGAGAGGGUGAUCGGCCACACUGGGACUGAGACACGGCCCAGACUCCUACGGGAGGCAGCAGUAGGGAAUCUUCGGCAAUGGACGGAAGUCUGACCGAGCAACGCCGCGUGAGUGAAGAAGGUUUUCGGAUCGUAAAGCUCUGUUGUAAGAGAAGAACGAGUGUGAGAGUGGAAAGUUCACACUGUGACGGUAUCUUACCAGAAAGGGACGGCUAACUACGUGCCAGCAGCCGCGGUAAUACGUAGGUCCCGAGCGUUGUCCGGAUUUAUUGGGCGUAAAGCGAGCGCAGGCGGUUAGAUAAGUCUGAAGUUAAAGGCUGUGGCUUAACCAUAGUACGCUUUGGAAACUGUUUAACUUGAGUGCAAGAGGGGAGAGUGGAAUUCCAUGUGUAGCGGUGAAAUGCGUAGAUAUAUGGAGGAACACCGGUGGCGAAAGCGGCUCUCUGGCUUGUAACUGACGCUGAGGCUCGAAAGCGUGGGGAGCAAGCAGG
rnacentral:rRNA from 1 species